AGAGUUUGAUCCUGGCUCAGAUUGAACGCUGGCGGCAUGCUUUACACAUGCAAGUCGAACGGCAGCACGGGGGCAACCCUGGUGGCGAGUGGCGAACGGGUGAGUAAUAUAUCGGAACAUGUCCGGAAGUGGGGGAUAACGUAGCGAAAGUUACGCUAAUACCGCAUAUGCCCUGAGGGGGAAAGGGGGGGAUCGCAAGACCUCUCGCUUUCGGAGUGGCCGAUAUCGGAUUAGCUAGUUGGUGGGGUAAAGGCUCACCAAGGCGACGAUCCGUAGCUGGUCUGAGAGGACGACCAGCCACACUGGGACUGAGACACGGCCCAGGCUCCUACGGGAGGCAGCAGUGGGGAAUUUUGGACAAUGGGCGAAAGCCUGAUCCAGCCAUGCCGCGUGAGUGAAGAAGGCCUUCGGGUUGUAAAGCUCUUUCGGCGGGGAAGAAAUCGCAUUCUCUAAUACAGGAUGUGGAUGACGGUACCCGAAUAAGAAGCACCGGCUAACUACGUGCCAGCAGCCGCGGUAAUACGUAGGGUGCGAGCGUUAAUCGGAAUUACUGGGCGUAAAGCGUGCGCAGGCGGUUUCGUAAGACAGACGUGAAAUCCCCGGGCUCAACCUGGGAACUGCGUUUGUGACUGCGAGGCUAGAGUUUGGCAGAGGGGGGUGGAAUUCCACGUGUAGCAGUGAAAUGCGUAGAGAUGUGGAGGAACACCGAUGGCGAAGGCAGCCCCCUGGGCCAAUACUGACGCUCAUGCACGAAAGCGUGGGGAGCAAACAGGAUUAGAUACCCUGGUAGUUCCACGCCCUAAACGAUGUCAACUAGGUGUGGGGGGAGGAGACUUUCCUUAGUACCGCAGCUAACGCGUGAAGUUGACCCGCUGGGGGAGUACGGCGCAAAGGUUGAAACUCAAAGAAAUGACGGGGACCCCGCACAAGCGGUGGAUUUUGGUGGAUUAAUUCGAUGCAACGCGAAAAACCUUACCUACCCUUGACAUGCCGAGAAUCCCGAAGAGAUUUGGGGGUGCCCGAAAGGGAACUUGGACACAGGUGCUGCAUGGCUGUCGUCAGCUCGUGUCGUGAGAUGUUGGGUUAAGUCCCGCAACGAGCGCAACCCUUGUCAUUAAUUGCCAUCAUUUAGUUGGGCACUUUAAUGAGACUGCCGGUGAUAAACCGGAGGAAGGUGGGGAUGACGUCAAGUCCUCAUGGCCCUUAUGGGUAGGGCUUCACACGUAAUACAAUGGUCGGUACAGAGGGUUGCCAACCCGCGAGGGGGAGCCAAUCUCAGAAAGCCGAUCGUAGUCCGGAUUGUUCUCUGCAACUCGAGAGCAUGAAGUCGGAAUCGCUAGUAAUCGCGGAUCAGCAUGUCGCGGUGAAUACGUUCCCGGGUCUUGUACACACCGCCCGUCACACCAUGGGAGUUGGUUCUACCCGAAGGUGGUGCGCUAACCGCAAGGAGGCAGCCAACCACGGUAGGGUCAGCGACUGGGGUGAAGUCGUAACAAGGUAGCCGUA
rnacentral:rRNA from 1 species